ensembl:lncRNA
UAAGCAUUCAUUUAUACAACUGAGCAGUUGAGGCUUAAGGGCCUUGCUAAAGGGCCCAACAGUAGCAGCUUGACAGUGCUGGGAUUUGAACUCAAGACCUUCCGAUCAGAAGUCUAAAUUUUACUCAAUAAGAGUAAAGUGUUGCAGUGCAUCUUGGAAAAGCAGCUCCCUUAUAUUAUUUAUAUAUAUAUAUAUUUUAAUUUUUUUUUGCGAGAGAUCAUGUUUUGUCCCCCAAAGUGAUAUUAUCUGGCGUUGCUGCGCUGGAUUCUGCUACGUUUGCAUUAUUAAGCAGUAAAUACAAGCACGUCUACAACUGACAGGAGGGACUUAAAACCAACCACAGACUCUGGCGCUAAAGUGUGUUUUAUUUCAGGCAUUAUUUUUUUCCUCGGGCGUACGAUACGCUUGCCUUUUCAUCAGCUCGAUUGAAUCAUUCUAAAAUUUCACUCGGCUUUUAUUUUUUAUUAUACUUUGCAGCAUAAUGAAAAGGGUUUUUUUUUUUUUUUUUUUUUUUAUUUCACUGUUCUCUCCGGUGCAAGCAUAUACAACAGUACAGCUUAAGAAUCAAAGGAGGUCGAGGUAGUUCAAUAGCAUGCAGUAAUAUCUGUGGUAACUUAUAGAAUAAUGAUAUGAUGAUCAAAUAUUAAUAGCUUAUAUGCAAUUCAGAUGCAUUUCAAUAGAAAUACCAAAUUUCUCCUGAUCAAUAUUUUUAUUGUUCUUAGCAUGCAAAUAUCUGAUGAUAAUUAAACAUACAAUUAUGCACAGAUUAUAGUAUCUGUAUAUGGCUUUAGGGAUGUCCAGGAGAUCUCAUGCCAAGGCAUGAUUUUAAAAAAAAUUCCAUCUCAAUUAAUAGCCUCUAUUAUGAUAUAAUCAUGAUGCUUGACUUGUAUAUAGAUGCAUAAUAGUUAACGAUUUACAGUCAUUUGUGGACUAUACACACACACACACACACACACACACACACACACACACACACACACACAUAUUCCAGUAUCUGAAAUAUUACAGUGUUUCAAAUCUAAAAGGACAUUUCAGAUCUUGAGAAGUUAACUGAGCGGAAUAUGAGAAGGAACUGAACAUGUAGACAUCUCGUAGUGAAACAUCCUCAGGUGUAGAUAGAUUCAGUUAAUAUAUUCAUCUGGAUCAUGUAUUUAAGACUGCUGACCUGUUAUCUUUUUCCUACUAAUAAAAUUGUGAUGUGAUAGAGACUGUACUAUGUGACUGUUAAGCGUUUUCGGUGGUACAACUGAUCGUUUUAGUAGAUGUUAUAUAUUUAUCAUAUGCGUAAAUAGUUGAAUAUUUGUAUUUGUAUGUGAAAUAUGCGUUCUUAGAAACAUCUUAGUAACAUUUAGUGGACAUUUAUAUAUCUCUGUUUCUGUCAUUAAAUGGACUAUGUUGAUGAUGAAUGUGCUCAAUGACUACAUUAGUCGUGCUUCUUUCUUGGUUUUUGUUUUUGUUUUGUUUUUUAAGAAUAUCUGUGUGGCAGGCUGGGAAAACCAUACACAUGGUGAAAUUUAGACUUUUUUUUUUUUUACUAUAGUUCUGAAUACUAUAGACUUUCCUAAAGUUAAAUGUGUUUGUACGGUAUCUCAAUGACAAGUGAAGUUCUAACAGGUGGAAAGGGAGAAAAUUGCAUUUAAAGAUUUCGCAGAAGAAUCACGUGGGACAUUUUGACAGCUACUUUUUUAUUUCAAAACUGAAUUUAUUGUUGCACUUAUCCAACAAAGCACUAUGUGAGUACAUCAUAGUAAUUACACUGUUUGUACCACCAUUGUACCUUUACCCAAUAUGAUCUUAGCAGGAAGAUGCCAAGACAAUUUUUUUUAUUUUAUUUAAAAUGAUAAAUAUUUCUGUCAUUUCUGGAAAUAUGUCCAUGUUUCUAUGAUCUGAGAAGUCAAAGUAUGCUACAGGCAGAAACUUGAAGUUUUCUCAGACUGCUACACUUUUAUUUUAAGGAAUAUUUAUUAGGGGUUAAUUGAGGUCUUGUUCAUUGUUCGGUAAAGCCCAAAUAGGACACUUGUAUUUAUUUAUUAGGGGUUUAUUAGUUUAUUCAGUAUGAAUUAGAUUUUAUUCACAAACACAUGUAUUGGGUGAUAAUCAGGGAUCUGUUGUGUGAAAAUUACAAAUAAAUCCAUUAUUAAUUGUGAUAAUGUGCAAAGUAAUGCUUUGUUAAGGCCUCGUUAUCUGAGAAGUUAACGUAUGUUACGGGCAGAAACCUGAUUUUGUGUUUGUUUUUUUUGUUGUUGUUGUUUUGUUUUUGUUUUCCCAGACUGCCAGACAUUUAAACAUGUAUAUAUAGAAACUGUCAUAUUUCCUGAUAAUUAUGAAACUCCUACUGUUGUCGCUGAAAGUUUCCUUAUGUUUUAAGUUCUUCCUUAAAAACUAUACAGUGCCAUCCAGUAAUAUUGGCACUCAUGGUAAAUAGGAGCAGAGACGGCUGUGAAAAAUUGUCUUUAUUGUUUAACCUUUUGAUUUUUUGUUAAAAAACAAAACAAAAUACUCUGCUCUCAUGGAUAUCAAACAAUUGCACACACAACACAGGUUUAGCCAAAAAAAAUCUUUGUUACGUAUAGGUGUGCAACAAUUAUUGGCACACUUUUAGUCAAUACUUUGUGCUACUUCCCUUUGCAACAUAACCGCUCGGAGUCUUCUGCUACAAUCCCUGAUGAGGUUGGAGAAUACAUGGUGAGGGAUCUGAGAGCGUUCCUCCAUACAGAAUCUCUCCAGAUCCUUCACAUCUCGAGGUCCACGCUGGUGGAGUCUCCUCUUCAGUUCACCCCACAGGUUUACUAUGGGGUUCAGGUCAGGGGACUGGGAUGGUCAUGGCAGGACCUUGAUUUUGAGGUCAGUAAACCAUUUUUGUGUUGAUUUUGAUGAUGUUUUGGAUCAUUGUCCUGCUGGAAGAUCCAACCACGGCCCAUUUGAAUCUUUCUGUCAGAGGCAGUCAGGUUUUCAUUUAAUAUCUGUUGAUAUUUGAUAGAGUCCAUGAUGCCACGUAUCCUAACAAAAUGUCCAGGUCCUCUGGCAGAAAAACAGCCCCAAAACAUUAAAGAUCCACCUCCAUAUUUAACUGUGGGCAUGAGGUACUUUUCCAUAUGGCUACCUCUCUGUGUGCUCCAAAACCACCUGUGUUUAUUACCAAAAAGCUCUAUUUUGAUUUCAUCUGACUAUAGAACCCGAUCCCAUUUGAAGUUCCAGUAGUGUCGGCAAACUGAAGACUCUCGAGUUUGUUUUUGGAUGAGAGUAGAGGCUUUUUCUCUUGAAACCCUUCCAAACAGCUUGUGGUGAUGUCGGUGACUUCAGAUUGUAGUUUUGGAGACUUUCUGACCCCAAGACACAACUCACUUCUGCAGUUCUCCAGCUGUGAUCCUUGGAGAUUUUACAGCCACUCGAACCGUCCUCUUCACAGUGUGUUGAGACGAUACAGACACACGUCCAAUUCCGAGUAAUUCAUAACAUUUCCAGUUGACUGGAACUUCUUAAUUAUUGCCCUGAUGGUGGAAAUGGCCAUUUUCAAUGCAUUUCCACUUCCCCUUUUUUGAAGCUCAACAACCUUUUGCUGCACAUCACAGCUAUAUUCCUAUAUAUAUA